AGAGUUUGAUCCUGGCUCAGGACGAACGCUGGCGGCGUGCCUAAUACAUGCAAGUCGAACGAACUCUGGUAUUGAUUGGUGCUUGCAUCAUGAUUUACAUUUGAGUGAGUGGCGAACUGGUGAGUAACACGUGGGAAACCUGCCCAGAAGCGGGGGAUAACACCUGGAAACAGAUGCUAAUACCGCAUAACAACUUGGACCGCAUGGUCCGAGUUUGAAAGAUGGCUUCGGCUAUCACUUUUGGAUGGUCCCGCGGCGUAUUAGCUAGAUGGUGGGGUAACGGCUCACCAUGGCAAUGAUACGUAGCCGACCUGAGAGGGUAAUCGGCCACAUUGGGACUGAGACACGGCCCAAACUCCUACGGGAGGCAGCAGUAGGGAAUCUUCCACAAUGGACGAAAGUCUGAUGGAGCAACGCCGCGUGAGUGAAGAAGGGUUUCGGCUCGUAAAACUCUGUUGUUAAAGAAGAACAUAUCUGAGAGUAACUGUUCAGGUAUUGACGGUAUUUAACCAGAAAGCCACGGCUAACUACGUGCCAGCAGCCGCGGUAAUACGUAGGUGGCAAGCGUUGUCCGGAUUUAUUGGGCGUAAAGCGAGCGCAGGCGGUUUUUUAAGUCUGAUGUGAAAGCCUUCGGCUCAACCGAAGAAGUGCAUCGGAAACUGGGAAACUUGAGUGCAGAAGAGGACAGUGGAACUCCAUGUGUAGCGGUGAAAUGCGUAGAUAUAUGGAAGAACACCAGUGGCGAAGGCGGCUGUCUGGUCUGUAACUGACGCUGAGGCUCGAAAGUAUGGGUAGCAAACAGGAUUAGAUACCCUGGUAGUCCAUACCGUAAACGAUGAAUGCUAAGUGUUGGAGGGUUUCCGCCCUUCAGUGCUGCAGCUAACGCAUUAAGCAUUCCGCCUGGGGAGUACGGCCGCAAGGCUGAAACUCAAAGGAAUUGACGGGGGCCCGCACAAGCGGUGGAGCAUGUGGUUUAAUUCGAAGCUACGCGAAGAACCUUACCAGGUCUUGACAUACUAUGCAAAUCUAAGAGAUUAGACGUUCCUUCGGGGACAUGGAUACAGGUGGUGCAUGGUUGUCGUCAGCUCGUGUCGUGAGAUGUUGGGUUAAGUCCCGCAACGAGCGCAACCCUUAUUAUCAGUUGCCAGCAUUAAGUUGGGCACUCUGGUGAGACUGCCGGUGACAAACCGGAGGAAGGUGGGGAUGACGUCAAAUCAUCAUGCCCCUUAUGACCUGGGCUACACACGUGCUACAAUGGAUGGUACAACGAGUUGCGAACUCGCGAGAGUAAGCUAAUCUCUUAAAGCCAUUCUCAGUUCGGAUUGUAGGCUGCAACUCGCCUACAUGAAGUCGGAAUCGCUAGUAAUCGCGGAUCAGCAUGCCGCGGUGAAUACGUUCCCGGGCCUUGUACACACCGCCCGUCACACCAUGAGAGUUUGUAACACCCAAAGUCGGUGGGGUAACCUUUUAGGAACCAGCCGCCUAAGGUGGGACAGAUGAUUAGGGUGAAGUCGUAACAAGGUAGCCGUAGGAGAACCUGCGGCUGGAUCACCU
rnacentral:rRNA from 2 species